UACGUAGGUGGCAAGCGUUGUCCGGAUUUACUGGGCGUAAAGCGCGCGCAGGUGGCGCGUCGCGUCCGGUGUGAAAGCUCCCGGCUCACCUGGGAGAGGGCACUGGAUACGGGCGUGCUGGAGGGUGGUAGAGGCCGGUGGAAUUCCCGGUGUAGUGGUGAAAUGCGUAGAGAUCGGGAGGAACACCAGUGGCGAAGGCGGCCGGCUGGGCCACACCGUGACGCUGAGGCGCGAAAGCGUGGGGAGCGAACCGGG
rnacentral:rRNA from 1 species